rnacentral:rRNA from 1 species
AUUGAACGCUGGCGGCAGGCCUAACACAUGCAAGUCGAGCGAGCGGCGGACGGGUGAGUAAUGUAUGGGGACUGCCCGAUAGAGGGGGAUAACUACUGGAAACGGUGGCUAAUACCGCAUACUAUCGGCUAACCCAUAUGGGAUUAGCUAGUAGGUGGGGUAAAGGCUCACCUAGGCGAAGAGCUCUAGCUGGUCUGAGAGGAUGAUUAGCCAAACGGGGACUGAGACACGGCCCAGACUACGACGGAGGGAGCAGUAGGGAAUCGUCGGCAAUGGAAGAAAGUCCGACCGAGCAACGCCGCGGGAGUGAAGAAGGUUUGCGGAUAGUAAAACUCUGUUGUUAGAGAAGCGGGAUCUAACCAGAAAGCCACGGCUAACGACGGGCCAGCAGCCGCGGUAAUUC